UACAGAGGGGGCCAGCGUUAUUCGGAAUUAUUGGGCGUAAAGGGCGCGUAGGCGGCUUAUCAAGUCAGGGGUGAAAUCCGGCAGCUCAACUGUCGAAGUGCCUUUGAUACUGAUGAGCUCGAGGGAGGUAGGGGUCGUGUGGAACUUCCGGUGGAGCGGUGAAAUGCGUUGAUAUCGGAAGGAACGCCGGUGGCGAAAGCGACGGACUGGACCUCUUCUGACGCUGAGGCGCGAAAGCUAGGGGAGCAAACGGG
rnacentral:rRNA from 1 species